UCCCCUAUCUCAAAUAAGACUAUCCGAACUCUCUCAGUUGGACCUAAGACCAAACGAGCCCUUCUCUCAUCUCCCUCAUCAGAUAAUGCCGCCUUUGAGCGAGUCCGCCAUUAUCACCGGCGAGAUAGCUCCAACCACCACCAAAAUCCGGACACGCAACCAUCACCCCUCCUUGCAUCCUAAUCCACCACCAUUUUUCCCAAAAUCCUUGCCAAAUCGGACCUGUUUCAAAUCUGAAAUCGAAGGAGAAGAAAAUCUCUCAAGUCCUCGAGUUCUUAUGAAUGAUUGGGCUUGAAACGAAUAUUGCUCAUUUGUUCUCAAAAAGAACAUACAGUUAAUACUAGUUUCGAGUCAAAUCAGAGUCGUUUGAGGUUUAUCAAGCCUUGUCUGUAUAGCCAUCGAGGUAUUUUUUCUUUAUUCUUGCUCCUUCGUCUCUGUCAUCUGCUUCAUUUUUGAACUGGCCUCCUUCUGUUUCGUUUCUUCUAAUGAUUGUUUCUCUGAUUGGAAAGUGAUAAAAAGUCUCAAGUCUAGUUUUCUCUCUUGAUUAAAGCAGUGGUCGUAUUUGUUCUUGUGAAUUCUCAAUUAUUCUUCUUCAAAUUUUUGAACGAUGUUAUUUGUUUCCUUUCGGUUAACAUUGUCCUUUUGAUAAUUAGGUAAGUUAAAUCUUUGUUCAAUUUGUUAAUUCAGUUUAAUUCAAAUUUGGUAUUUUAGCUUAAAAAGAGAAUCAAUCGUUAGUUUAGAUUUUGGGCUUUUUAAGUUGUUUCUCCUUUUUGUUUCUUAUUGGGUUUCUGAGUGUUGUUCGGGCCUUAAGUUCAAUUCUGGCCUGUUCAUUUUGGGUUUGGACCUUGGGUCAACAUUGACCCAUACCCGUUUGGUUGCAUGAAGGUAAAUAAUAGGGGUUGUAAGGGUAAUUUUGGAACUCUAGGUAGAGGAAUCUCUGAAUAACUGAUUGAGGAAGCUUCUAGGAAGUUGGGGUGAGGACUAAACUGAAGUUCUGAAUUUUACACUAAAGAUACCUAAGCUAAAACCAAAAUUCCAAAAGGGUAGAAGUACAAAUCUGAUUUCUUUUAGGCUUCCCUAAUAGCUUGCAUAUAAAUGCAUCAUUACUUGAGACUAAAGGAGAGGAUUUUAGAGACAAAAAUUCCUGAAAAGCUGUAACGACUGAGUUUCUUUGAAAAUUCUGAGUUCCAUUGCUGAAAACUACUAAAAUUCUGUUUUGGUUUUGGAUUUCUAAGUCUUCUGUUAGCUAGAACCUUUAAGGAAUUUCAUAAUCAUAUUGCUGGGGUUAAGAACUAGUUUGAAUCUUGUUUGAAAUUGGGUUUUGGGUCUGUUGUGCAUCAUUGUUGGUUUGAGCUAGGAUUUGCUGGAUUUUUGGAACUGUUUCAUUGCUGGGGUUAAGCUGAUUUCUGCUACUACUUGCUGCUGACUCUUCAUCUCUUUUGUUUUUCCUUGUUCCUUACUAGGUAUUACUUCAAAUCACUGUCAACAAGUAGCUAAGAACAUGUGUUUCCAAUUGAG
rnacentral:lncRNA from 1 species